GACGAACGCUGGCGGCGUGCUUAACACAUGCAAGUCGAACGAUGAACCCGGAGCUUGCUCCGGCGGAUUAGUGGCGAACGGGUGAGUAACACGUGAGUAACCUGCCCUUGACUCUGGGAUAACUGCUAGAAAUGGUAGCUAAUACCGGAUACGACCCUCGGCGGCAUCGCCAGGGGGUGGAAAGAAUUUCGGUCAAGGAUGGACUCGCGGCCUAUCAGCUAGUUGGUGAGGUAACGGCUCACCAAGGCGACGACGGGUAGCCGGCCUGAGAGGGUGACCGGCCACACUGGGACUGAGACACGGCCCAGACUCCUACGGGAGGCAGCAGUGGGGAAUAUUGCACAAUGGGCGCAAGCCUGAUGCAGCAACGCCGCGUGAAGGAUGACGGCCUUCGGGUUGUAAACCUCUUUUAGUAGGGGAGAAGCGAAAGUGACGGUACCUGCAGAAAAAGCACCGGCUAACUACGUGCCAGCAGCCGCAGUAA
rnacentral:rRNA from 1 species